rnacentral:rRNA from 1 species
AUGGAGAUCGACGCCGACCUCGUCGUCACCAGGGCCGAGAUCACGGACGCCGCGGCGGCCACGUUCGCGGACUCAACAGUGAUCCCCGACAGGUACGCCCGGCCGGACGAGGUCGGGGACGGGGUCGUGGUGGGCGACGAGGAGAGCCACGAGCUGCCGCUCGUAGACAUGGCGAGGCUGCUCGACUCGGAGUCCUCUGAGGCGGAGGCGGCCAAGCUUGGCUCUGCAUGUCGAGACUGGGGCUUCUUCCAGCUAACAAACCAUGGACUCGACGAAUCAGCUGUACAAGACAUGAAGAAUAACGCUGUGCAGUUCUUCCGCUUGCCACUGGAGAAGAAGAACGCCGUGGCCAUCGAGGCCGGCCGUUUGGAAGGGUUUGGGCACCACUUCGCCGGAGCAUCCUGCGACAAACUGGACUGGGCAGAGAGCCUGAUACUCGCGACGCAAGAGAACGAGCAGACGAACAUGGAGCUCUGGCCCGCCGAUCCGCCAACAUUUAGGGAUGCACUUGAGAAGUACUCGCUCGAGAUGUCUAGUCUCGCGAGGCGCCUCCUGAGGUUCAUGGCGAGCGACAUCGGAGUGGAGCGGGAGGCGCUCGACGGGGCCUUCCGGGGCAAGAGGCAGACCGUGGCCAUGCACCACUACCCUCCAUGCCGGCACCCGGACAAGGUGAUAGGCAUCACGCCGCACCAUGACGGCCUCGGCCUGGCCCUCCUGCUGCACGUGGACGACACCCCGGGCCUGCAGGUGAGGAGGGGCGGCAGGUGGUUCCCGCUGGAUCCGCUGCCGGGCGCCCUCGUCGUCAACGUCGGCGACAUCCUCCAGGUGCUCACCAACGGCAAGUACAGGAGCGCCGAGCAUAGGGUGUUGGUGGACGCCGAGAGAGGCCGGACGACCGUGGUGAUGUUCCAGGGCGCGUCCGUCGCCGGGACGGUGAGGCCGCUCCCGGGGCUCGGCGAGGCCAGGUACAGGGCGAUCGAGUAUGGUGAGUAUGUCAAGGGGAAUUUCAGGGCGCUCGUUGAAGGGACCAGGUUCGUGGAUAGUCUCCAGACCGAUGUAGCGCAGGAUGAGAAGGAAAUCUAA